AUUGAACGCUGGCGGCAUGCCUUACACACGCAAGUCGAACGGCAGCAUGAUCUAGCUUGCUAGAUUGAUGGCGAGUGGCGAACGGGUGAGUAAUACAUCGGAACGUGCCCUGUAGUGGGGGAUAACUAGUCGAAGGAUUAGCUAAUACCGCAUACGACCUGAGGGUGAAAGUGGGGGACCGCAAGGCCUCAUGCUAUAGGAGCGGCCGAUGUCUGAUUAGCUAGUUGGUGAGGUAAAGGCUCACCAAGGCGACGAUCAGUAGCUGGUCUGAGAGGACGAUCAGCCACACUGGGACUGAGACACGGCCCAGACUCCUACGGGAGGCGGCAGUGGGGAAUUUUGGACAAUGGGGGCAACCCUGAUCCAGCAAUGCCGCGUGUGUGAAGAAGGCCUUCGGGUUGUAAAGCACUUUUGUCCGGAAAGAAAUCGCACUUACUAAUAUUAGGUGUGGAUGACGGUACCGGAAGAAUAAGGACCGGCUAACUACGUGCCAGCCGCCGCCGUAAGAC
rnacentral:rRNA from 1 species